CAGGACUCUCCUGGUUGCUCACCAUGACGUCGCCUUUGAGAAGAAGGGCUGGCUCCAAGCUAAUGCAAAGCUGCUGGGGACCAGGACCUUCGAUGUGACUGGGGGGCAGAAAGAAGGCCUGUUGCUUUCUACUCCACUAGCAUGUAAGCCCAUGAGAGCAGGGACCUGGUUUGUUCUGGAUUCUCAACACUAGCACAAUGCCUGGCAUAGAGGAGUUGCCCAAUUAAGCUGUGCUUCGUGAAGAAGAGAAUCUGGCCCAUUCCCACCCAGGCUGCUCACCGGCGCUGGGAAGGCUGCAGUUCUGUGGCCACCUUGUCCUCGCAAAAUUUUCGCAUGGAAGAGAAGAGGAGACACAGGGAUACAGACACACACCAUGUGAUGAUAGAGGCAGAGGUUGGAGUGAAGCAGCUGCUAGUCAAGGUAUGCCAAGGAUUGCCAGCCACCACCAGAAGCUAGAAGGAGGCAGAGGAAAACAGUACCCAGGUUCACAGCACAAACCCAGACACGGUGAUUUUGGACUUCUAGUCUUUAGAACUGUGAGGUAAUAAAGUUUGAUUAUAUUAA